rnacentral:rRNA from 1 species
GUGGGGAAUCUUCCGCAAUGGACGAAAGUCUGACGGAGCAACGCCGCGUGAGUGAAGAAGGUUUUCGGAUCGUAAAGCUCUUUCGUUAGGGACGAACGUGCUCUUUGUGAAUAAUGAGGAGUAAUGACGGUACCUAAAUAAGAAGCCACGGCUCACUACGUGCCAGCAGCCGCGGUAAUACGUAGGUGGCAAGCGUUGUCCGGAAUUACUGGGCGUAAAGCGCGCGCAGGCGGGAUAUCAAGUCUGUCUUAAAAGUGCGAGGCUCAACCUCGUGAGGGGACAGAAACUGGUAUUCUUGAGUGUCGGAGAGGAAAGUGGAAUUCCAAGUGUAGCGGUGAAAUGCGUAGAGAUUUGGAAGAACACCAGUGGCGAAGGCGACUUUCUGGACGAUGUCUGACGCUGAGGCGCGAAAGCUAGGGGAGCGAACGGGAUUAGAUACCCGAGUAGUCC